rnacentral:rRNA from 1 species
UGGGGAAUUUUGGACAAUGGGCGCAAGUGUGAUCCAGCCAUGCCGCGUGCGGGAAGAAGGCCUUCGGGUUGUAAACCGCUUUUGUCAGGGAAGAAACGCUCUGGGUUAAUACCUCGGGGUAAUGACGGUACACGAAGAAUAAGCACCGGGUAAAUAUGUGCCAGCAGCCGCGGUAAUAUGUAGGGUGCGAGCGUUAUUCUGAAUUAUUGGGGGUAAAGCGUGCGCAGGCGGUUUUGCAAGACAGAUGUGAAAUCUCCGGGCUCAACCUGGGAACUGCAUUUGUGACUGCAUGGCUAGAGUACGGUAGAGGGGGAUGGAAUUCCGCGUGUAGCAGCGAAAUGCGUAGAUAUAUGGAGGAACACACGAUGGC